AGGCUGAAGCUCGCCUAUAUGAAGUCGGAAUUGCUAGUAAUCGCAGAUCAGCAUGCUGCGGUGAAUACGUUCCCGGGCCUUGUACACACCGCCCGUCACACCAUGGGAGUUGGAAGCACCCGAAGUCGGUGACCUGACCGAAAGGGAGGAGCCGCCGAAGGUGAAGCCAGCGACUGGGGUGAAGUCGUAACAAGGUAUC
rnacentral:rRNA from 1 species